GAUGAACGCUGGCGGCGUGCCUAACACAUGCAAGUCGAGCGAAGCGAUUUAGCGGAAGUUUUCGGAUGGAAGUUAAAUUGACUGAGCGGCGGACGGGUGAGUAACGCGUGGGUAACCUGCCUCAUACAGGGGGAUAACAGUUAGAAAUGACUGCUAAUACCGCAUAAGCGCACAGUAUCGCAUGAUACAGUGUGAAAAACUCCGGUGGUACAAGAUGGACCCGCGUCUGAUUAGCUAGUUGGUAAGGUAACGGCUUACCAAGGCGACGAUCAGUAGCCGACCUGAGAGGGUGACCGGCCACAUUGGGACUGAGACACGGCCCAA
rnacentral:rRNA from 1 species